GACAGAGGGUGCAAACGUUGUUCGGAUUUACUGGGCGUAAAGCGCGUGUAGGCGGCUUUGCAAGUCGGAUGUGAAAGCCCACGGCUCAACCGUGGAAGUGCAUCCGAAACUGCAUGGCUGGAGUCUCGGAGAGGAAGGUGGAAUGCUUGGUGUAGAGGUGAAAUUCGUAGAUAUCAAGCAGAACACCUGCGGCGAAGGCAGCUCACUGGGACGGUACUGACGCUGAGACGCGAAAGCGUGGGGAGCAAACAGG
rnacentral:rRNA from 1 species